rnacentral:rRNA from 1 species
CCUACGGGUGGCAGCAGUGAGGAAUAUUGGUCAAUGGACGAGAGUCUGAACCAGCCAAGUAGCGUGAAGGAUGAAUGCCCUAUGGGUUGUAAACUUCGUUUAUAUGGGAAUAAAAUGUUCCACGUGUGGGAUUUUGUAUGUACCAUAUGAAUAAGGAUCGGCUAACUCCGUGCCAGCAGCCGCGGUAAUACGGAGGAUCCGAGCGUUAUCCGGAUUUAUUGGGGUUAAAGGGAGCGUAGGUGGCUUGUUAAGUCCGUUGUGAAAGUUUGCGGCUCACCCGUAAAAUUGCAGUUGAAACUGGCAGUCUUGAGUACAGUAGAGGUGGGCUGAAUUCGUGGUGUAGCGGUGACAUGCUUAGAUAUCACGCAGAACUCCGAUUGCGACGGCAGCUCACUGGACUGCACCUGACACUGAGGCUCGAAAGUGUGGGUAUCAAACCGGAUUAGAUACCCUAGUAGUC